GUACACGCUGUGACUAGCAUAUCAAUAAGCGGAGGAAAAGAAACUAACAAGGAUUCCCCUAGUAACGGCGAGUGAAGCGGGAAGAGCUCAAAUUUGAAAUCUUAAAGGGUUUCCCUUUACGAAUUGUAGUUUAAAGAAGUGUUUUCUGUUGAGGUUUUGGUAAAAGUUCUUUGGAAUAGGACAUCAUAGAGGGUGAGAAUCCCGUAUUUGACCUUUACUUUCAACUUUGUGAUACACUUUCAAAGAGUCGGAUUGUUUGGGAAUGCAGUCCAAAAUGGGUGGUAAAUUUCAUCUAAAGCUAAAUAUUGGCGAGAGACCGAUAGCGAACAAGUACCGUGAGGGAAAGAUGAAAAGAACUUUGAAAAGAGAGUUAAACAGUACGUGAAAUUGUCAAAAGGGAAGCGUUUGACACCAGUGUUGUUUUUCUGAAAAUCAAUUAAAGAACUGUUUAUGCUAAGUUGUUUAGACUUUAUCAGCUAACUGUUUAGUUUUGAGCUUUUCUUUAAUGCACUUUUCAGUUAACAAGUCAACAUCAAUUUCUUUUGCUGAUAAAAAAGCUUGAGGAAGGUGGCUUGAGAUUCGUCUUAAGUGUUUAUAGCCUCUUGCCUAUGCAGUCGGAGAGAUUGAGGUCUGCAGCGUAGAUCCUUCGGGGCUAAAUGCAUUUGUGCUAAGUUAUAGCAUUUUAUAGACAACUUGUUGACUAUGAUUUGUCUUGUAGCUUACUCGCUUAUGUUAUUUUACCUACGCUUAGGAUGUUGACAGCAGUAUAGACUGU
rnacentral:rRNA from 1 species